UUGGAGGGCAAGUCUGGUGCCAGCAGCCGCGGUAAUUCCAGCUCCAAUAGCGUAUAUUAAAGUUGUUGCAGUUAAAAAGCUCGUAGUUGAAUUUCGGGAUCAAUGUUUCGGUCAUGCCGUUGGUAUGUACUGAUAUUAUUGAUUUCUCACCUUCUAAAGAACCGUAAUGCCAUUAAUUUGGUGUCACGGGGAAUUAGGACUGUUACCUUGAAAAAAUUAGAGUGUUUAAAGCAGGC
rnacentral:rRNA from 3 species